AGAGUUUGAUCCUGGCUCAGAACGAACGCUGGCGGCAUGCCUAACACAUGCAAGUCGAACGAAGCCUUCGGGCUUAGUGGCGCACGGGUGCGUAACACGUGGGAAUCUGCCCUUGGCUAUGGAAUAACUCAGGGAAACUUGAGCUAAUGCCAUAUGAUGCCGCAAGGCCAAAGAUUUAUCGGCCAGGGAUGAGCCCGCGUAGGAUUAGCUAGUUGGUGGGGUAAAGGCCUACCAAGGCGACGAUCCUUAGCUGGUCUGAGAGGAUGAUCAGCCACACUGGGACUGAGACACGGCCCAGACUCCUACGGGAGGCAGCAGUGGGGAAUAUUGGACAAUGGGCGAAAGCCUGAUCCAGCAAUGCCGCGUGAGUGAAGAAGGCCUUAGGGUUGUAAAGCUCUUUUACCCGGGAAGAUAAUGACUGUACCGGGAGAAUAAGCCCCGGCUAACUCCGUGCCAGCCGCCGCGGUAAUUC
rnacentral:rRNA from 1 species